rnacentral:misc_RNA from 1 species
GAAAUGCGAUAAUUAAUGUGAAUUGCAGAAUUCAGUGAAUCAUCGAGUCUUUGAACGCACAUUGCGCCCCCUGGUAUUCCGGGGGGCAUGCCUGUCCGAGCGUCAUUGCUGCCCUCAAGCACGUCUUGUGUGUUGGGCUUCCGUCCCUGGCAACGGGGACGGGCCCAAAAGGCAGUGGCGGCACCAUGUCUGGUCCUCGAGCGUAUGGGGCUUUGUCACCCGCUCCCGUAGGUCCAGCUGGCAGCUAGCCUCGCAACCAAUCUUUUUAACCAGGUUGACCUCGGAUCAGGUAGGGAUACCCGCUGAACUUAAGC